rnacentral:lncRNA from 1 species
CAUGAUUUGAACAUUAUUCAUUUAAAAGCAUAUGUUGACUUAAAAUCAUCAAGUUUAGAUUUUCAAACAACAAAGAUAUAUAGAGAUAAAGAUGAAUACCUUGAUGAUUGUACCGUCCACCGAUCUUGUUAUUGAAUGAUGAGUUAUGAAAUCACCAAUAAACUGCGGGCAUUCUUCAACUACAAGUCUUUCCAAUUGUGGAAAUGUCGUGUGAUAUUGUUUGGGACACAUGCUGACUAAACUUGGCAGAUUGUGAAGAACGAAGGUCUCCAAUGCUGGAAGAUGAAGAGGAAUCUCAGUGUGGUUUUGAUGAUCAUCAGUGAAGUGUCCAAUUAUGUAUUCCAAUUUCUCACAAUGUUCAACUUCGAACAAUCUUAAUUUUGGGAAGACAGUGCCCCAGUUAUUGCCACCAGUGUUGUCAUGAUCUCCCAUGUCUAUUAUAAUGUGCUUCAAUUCAUUACACUUAUAGAUUGUCAAUGACUCCAACAACAUUGUUGGAGCAAUAGACAGGAUAAAUACUGAUUUCAUCUUUGAAAUUUUCCAGAGUGUAAUCUUUUUAAUAUUGCACAAGAUAUGUGAUUGUCUUGAAAGACAUUGAGCACUUUCCCAUAUGUUAAGAGGAUAUGAAUUUGAUUCCUGCAAUUAUAUAAUCUCAGUGAGCAAAUAUAGAAUUCAAGAAAAUAAAAACAAAUGAUU